UACCAACCGUGGGUCGGGCGUGCUAGGCCCCUUCGCCCCCACUCUAUAGCGUGGCCCGGGCGUACAAGGCCCCUUCAACCAGCUUACCAACCGUGGGUCGGGCGUACUAGGCCCCUUCACCCUCACUAUGUAGCGUGGCCCGGGCGUACAAGGCCCCUUCAACCAGCUUACUAACCGAUAAGAAUACAACAGAACGACCGAAA
rnacentral:misc_RNA from 1 species